rnacentral:rRNA from 1 species
GACGAACGCUGGCGGCGUGCCUAAUACAUGCAAGUAGAACGCUGAAGGGAGGAGCUUGCUCAUCUUGGAUGAGUUGCGAACGGGGGAGUAACGCGUAGGUAACCUGCCUUGUAGCGGGGGAUAACUAUUGGAAACGAUAGCUAAUACCGCAUAACAAUAGGUGACACAUGUCAUUUAUUUGAAAGGGGCAAUUGCUCCACUACAAGGUGGACCUGCGUUGUAUUAGCUAGUAGGUGAGGUAACGGCUCACCUAGGCGACGAUACAUAGCCGACCUGAGAGGGUGAUCGGCCACACUGGGACUGAGACACGGCCCAGACUCCUACGGGAGGCAGCAGUAGGGAAUCUUCGGCAAUGGGGGCAACCCUGACCGAGCAACGCCGCGUGAGUGAAGAAGGUUUUCGGAUCGUAAAGCUCUGUUGUAAGUCAAGAACGAGUGUGAGAGUGGAAAGUUCGCACUGUGACGGUAGCUUACCAGAAAGGGACGGCUAACUACGUGC